UACAGAGGGUGCAAACGUUGUUCGGAUUUACUGGGCGUAAAGCGCGUGUAGGCGGCUUCGCAAGUUGGAUGUGAAAUCCCACGGCUCAACCGUGGACGUGCAUCCAAAACUGCGUCGCUCGAGUCUCGGAGAGGAAGGUGGAAUGCUUGGUGUAGAGGUGAAAUUCGUAGAUAUCAAGCAGAACACCUGCGGCGAAGGCGGCCUUCUGGACGAUGACUGACGCUGAGACGCGAAAGCGUGGGGAGCAAACAGG
rnacentral:rRNA from 1 species